rnacentral:rRNA from 1 species
AACGAACGCUGGCGGCAUGCCUAACACAUGCAAGUCGAACGAGACCUUCGGGUCUAGUGGCGCACGGGUGCGUAACGCGUGGGAACCUGCCCUUAGGUUCGGAAUAACUCCCCGAAAGGGGUGCUAAUACCGGAUAAUGUCUUCGGACCAAAGAUUUAUCGCCUUUGGAUGGGCCCGCGUUGGAUUAGCUAGUUGGUAGGGUAAAAGCCUACCAAGGCGACGAUCCAUAGCUGGUCUGAGAGGAUGAUCAGCCACACUGGGACUGAGACACGGCCCAGACUCCUACGGGACGCAGCAGUGGGGAAUAUUGGACAAUGGGCGAAAGCCUGAUCCAGCAAUGCCGCGUGAGUGAUGAAGGCCUUAGGGUUGUAAAGCUCUUUUACCCGGGAUGAUAAUGACAGUACCGGGAGAAUAAGCUCCGGCUAACUCCGU